GCUUCUUUCUUGCCCUGGACCACUUUCCCCUCUUCUCCCAGAUCAGCUCCAGAGCUCUCCCGGCGACCGGCGCACCUCGUCUCGCCGGCACUUCUCCCCUUCCGGCGCAGCUCUUCGACGGAUCACCUCGUUCGCCACAUCGGCAGUAGAUGGCAGAUCCCGGCGCCGGCGGUGACCUUUAGGCGGUCCUUGGACGCGCUCUGUUCAUGUUGGUGACUUUCCCUUUCUCCGAUCGCAGCGUCGUACGGCGUGUUCUUGCUGCGCAACAAGCUCAAGCGUCCGAAGCAGAAGAAGAUGAAGGAGGAGCAGGAUCUCCGGCGGCACGAGCUUUUCCGGCGCGAGCAGGAGCUCCGGGCACAGGUGGCCGGCCUGCAGGCCGCCCUUUCCCGGAAGCACGCUCUUGCCGUUGCCGUGACUUCCUUGGGAACUUGUACUGCACGACAGAGAGACAAAGUAAUUGGAACACCAUGGACUUUGGUAAAUCAAACACUGCUAGGCCACUGUGUAUACUUCCUUGAGCUAUAGUGACAGUCAUUGUGGACUUUGGUAAAUCAAACACUGCUGGGCUAACCAUGGCGAACAAGUCACAACCCAAAAUAAUAUCUUGCCCUUGCAGGUCCAAAACUCUGAAAGAGUGAUGAAAUUUAUGUGUCGAAAUUGAAAAUUUCUAGUCCCGAACAAUAGUGUACAUUGCAAUAGCCCCCCUCCUGCCACAUAGAUAGUUUCUUAGCCCCUACGGUGCUCCAAAGUUUAGCUUUGUAAGAAAAUGUUGAGCAAGAUCAUCAGCGGUGC